GGGCAGCAUGGUCUUAGCUUGCUAAGGCUGAUGGCGACCGGCGCACGGGUGAGUAACACGUAUCCAACCUGCCGUCUACUCUUGGCCAGCCUUCUGAAAGGAAGAUUAAUCCAGGAUGGCAUCAUGAGUUCACAUGUCCGCAUGAUUAAAGGUAUUUUCCGGUAGACGAUGGGGAUGCGUUCCAUUAGAUAGUAGGCGGGGUAACGGCCCACCUAGUCAACGAUGGAUAGGGGUUCUGAGAGGAAGGUCCCCCACAUUGGAACUGAGACACGGUCCAAACUCCUACGGGAGGCAGCAGUGAGGAAUAUUGGUCAAUGGGCGAUGGCCUGAACCAGCCAAGUAGCGUGAAGGAUGACUGCCCUAUGGGUUGUAAACUUCUUUUAUAAAGGAAUAAAGUCGGGUAUGCAUACCCGUUUGCAUGUACUUUAUGAAUAAGGAUCGGCUAACUCCGUGCCAGCAGCCGCGGUAAUACGGAGGAUCCGAGCGUUAUCCGGAUUUAUUGGGUUUAAAGGGAGCGUAGAUGGAUGUUUAAGUCAGUUGUGAAAGUUUGCGGCUCAACCGUAAAAUUGCAGUUGAUACUGGAUGUCUUGAGUGCAGUUGAGGCAGGCGGAAUUCGUGGUGUAGCGGUGAAAUGCUUAGAUAUCACGAAGAACUCCGAUUGCGAA
rnacentral:rRNA from 1 species